rnacentral:rRNA from 1 species
UAUAAAGGGAGUGAAAGACUCCCUCGCCGAAAACCCAAGGUUUCCUGUGCAACGCUAAUCGGCGCAGGGUGAGUCGGCCCCUAAGGUGAGGCAGAAAUGCGUAACUGAUGGGAAACUGGUUAAAAUUCCAGUACCUUUGUUCAAUGCGAUGUGGGGACGGAGAAGGUUAGCUCAGCCGGGUGUUGGAUGUCCCGGUUCAAGCGUGUAGGCGUGUUGCUUUGGCAAAUCCGAGCGACUUAGCUGAGACGUGAUAACGCAACGUUCUUAGGAACGCCAAGUGAGUAAUACCAUGCUUCCAGGAAAAGCCACUAAGCUUCAGUUGAAUGAAGACCGUACCGUAAACCGACACAGGUGGGUAGGAUGAGAAUUCUAAGGCGCUUGAGAGAACUCAGGAGAAGGAACUCGGCAAAAUAGCACCGUAACUUCGGGAAAAGGUGUGCCCUUUGUAUGUGUAACGCCUCGCGCGUGAAGCAGAAUAGGGUUGCAAUGAAAUGGUGGCUGCGACUGUUUAAUAAAAACAUAGCACUCUGCAAACACGAAAGUGGACGUAUAGAGUGUGACGCCUGCCCGGUGCCGGAAGGUUAAAUGAUGGGGUGCAAGCUCUUGAUUGAAGCCCCGGUAAACGGCGGCCGUAACGAUAACGGUCCAAGGUAGCGAAAUUCCUUGUCGGGUAAGUUCCGACCUGCACGAAUGGCGUAACGAUGGCCAUACUGUCUCCUCCUGGGACUCAGCGAAGUUGAAAUGUUUGUGAAGGUGCAAUCUCCCCGCGGCUAGACGGAAAGACCCCGUGCACCUUUACUGUAGCUUUACAUUGGACUUUGAUAACAUUUGUGUAGGAUAGGUGGGAGGCUUUGAAGUGGAUUCGCUAGAAUUCAUGGAGCCAACGUUGAAAUACCACCCUGAUGUUGUUGAGGUUCUAACCUAGAUCCAUUAGCUGGAUUGGGGACCGUGUAUGGUAGGCAGUUUGACUGGGGCGGUCUCCUCCCAAAUUGUAACGGAGGAGUACGAAGGUACGCUAGGUACGGUCGGAAAUCGUGCUGAUAGUGCAAUGGCAAAAGCGUGCUUAACUGCGAGACUGACAAGUCGAGCAGAUGCGAAAGCAGGUCAUAGUGAUCCGGUGGUUCUGUAUGGAAGGGCCAUCGCUCAACGGAUAAAAGGUACGCCGGGGAUAACAGGCUGAUUCCUCCCAAGAGUUCAUAUCGACGGGGGAGUUUGGCACCUCGAUGUCGGCUCAUCACAUCCUGGGGCUGUAGCCGGUCCCAAGGGUAUGGCUGUUCGCCAUUUAAAGUGGUACGUGAGCUGGGUUUAAAACGUCGUGAGACAGUUUGGUCCCUAUCUGCCGUGGGCGUUGGAAGUUUGAGUGGACCUGCUCCUAGUACGAGAGGACCGGAGUGGACGCACCUCUGGUGUACCGGUUAUAACGCCAGUCGUAUCGCCGGGUAGCUAUGUGCGGAAGAGAUAACCGCUGAAAGCAUCUAAGCGGGAAACUCUCCUCAAGAUGAGACUUCCCGAGGGUUUAACCCUCCUAAAGGUUCGUCGAAGACUACGACGUUGAUAGGUCGGGUGUGGAAGCAUAGUAAUAUGUUAAGCUAACCGAUACUAAUUGACCGUGAGGCU